UGGCCCUACGGGACGCAGCAGUGGGGGAUAUUGGACAAUGGGGGGAACCCUGAUCCAGCGACGCCGCGUGAGUGAAGAAGUAUUUCGGUAUGUAAAGCUCUGUCAGCAGGGAAGAAAAAAGACGGUACCUGACUAAGAAGCCCCGGCUAACUACGUGCCAGCAGCCGCGGUAAUACGUAGGGGGCAAGCGUUAUCCGGAUUUACUGGGUGUAAAGGGAGCGUAGACGGAGAAGCAAGUCUGAAGUGAAAGCCCGUGGCUUAACCACGGGACUGCUUUGGAAACUGUUCGACUAGAGUGCUGGAGG
rnacentral:rRNA from 1 species